UACGUAGGGGGCGAGCGUUGUCCGGAUUUAUUGGGCGUAAAGAGCGUGUAGGCGGCCAGGUAGGUCUGCUGUGAAAACUCGAGGCUCAACCUCGAGACGUCGGCGGAAACCAUCUGGCUAGAGUCCGGAAGAGGAGAGUGGAAUUCCUGGUGUAGCGGUGAAAUGCGCAGAUAUCAGGAAGAACACCCGUGGCGAAGGCGGCUCUCUGGGAACGGUACUGGACGCUGAGACGCGAAAGCCGUGGGGAGCAAACAGG
rnacentral:rRNA from 1 species